rnacentral:rRNA from 1 species
UACGUAGGGUGCGAGCGUUGUCCGGAAUUAUUGGGCGUAAAGAGCUCGUAGGCGGUCUGUCGCGUCUGCUGUGAAAACCCGAGGCUCAACCUCGGGCCUGCAGUGGGUACGGGCAGACUAGAGUGCGGUAGGGGAGAAUGGAACUCCUGGUGUAGCGGUGGAAUGCGCAGAUAUCAGGAGGAACACCGGUGGCGAAGGCGGGUCUCUGGGCAGUAACUGACGCUGGAGGAGCGAAAGCGUGGGGAGCGAACAGG